rnacentral:tRNA from 1 species
UUGCAUUAGGUGACGCGAUUGCGGCGUUAAAGACGCCGCAAUUUACGUCGCAUCUUGUGGCAGUGCUACGCUGUAUUGCCGA